UUAAAUGGCUGCAGUAAUUUGACUGUACAAAGGUAGCAUAAUCAUUAGUUUUUUAAUUAAAAGCUUGAAUGAAAGGUUGGACGAGGUAAAAUCUGUCUCUUUUAAAUAAAAUUAGAAUUUAAUUUUUAAGUUAAAAAGCUUAAAUUUUUAUAAAAGACGAGAAGACCCUAUAGAGUUUAAUAAUUUUUUUAGAAAUAAUUAAUUUAGUUUUAUUACUUUUAUUUUUUUAAAAUUAUUUUAUUGGGGUAAUAAUAAGAUUAAAAUAAUUCUUUUUUUUUUACCAUUAAUUUAUGAAAUAUAUGAUCCAUUAUUUUUAUGAUUAUAAG
rnacentral:rRNA from 2 species